rnacentral:tRNA from 1 species
GGACUCAUAGCUCAGCCGGUUAGAGCAUCUGACUCAUAAUCAGAGGGUCCCUGGUUCGAGCCCAGGUGAGUCCA